UGUUACCCCCAGGUUUUGUAAUUGCUGUUGCUUUUGCUCAGCUGUUUCUAAAGUGCCAGCCUUAGCCAGCUGUUACUGCACCUGCUCUUCAAAGGGGCAGGUUCUCACCAGUGUCCUGUGUGGGAGGAUCUUGAGCCACAGAGGUGACCACAGGCAGGGCCAUCUCAUUCUCAUUGCUCUCAUUACUCUACCCUACACACUUCACUGUUGAGGAAAGCUUCAGCUGGGGUGACUGCUAUCAUUCCGCUGGGGUAGGUGAAGUACGCCUGUUCAUUAGCCCUUUCUCCACCAAUGACCUGGGUAGUUGGCCAAUUACCGGAAUGGUCAAUUCAAAAUCGUGGAAGGCACCGUCUAUUAGGAAUCCCAUGUCUGCGUGAACAGGGAUCCUGACACCACCUUUGUUAUGUUCUGCACCAAUAGGAACUCCCACAAGCUAGAUGCACCGGUUCACAUGAUGUCGCCUACACACUCUGAUGCUUAUCAAGACUCUUCUGUUGGAGGCUGUGUAUUUCUUGUAUCAACAUAAUUAAACUCAUCCUUUACUGUGUCAUUCUGUGCCCACUAGUAGUAGCAAAACUGAAUACAUCCCUGUUUCAUAUCAUUAUUUAGAAAAAAGAAUAGAAGGAGAAAGCUGUUGUAUUUCUCAGAUACCUUUAAACUCUAUUUGUACACUUACCCCCUACAUUUAAAUACAAUUGGUCAGCAACCUUAUAUAUGAUUUCUAGCGAGACACAUUGCACUGUAAUUAUGUUGUGUAUUCUUAUAGUUAAUGAAGAUUGGUCUAUCUGCAGGUAUAGCCACACACAGAAUUGCAGAACUCCAAAAGAACAAGGUAUAAGAAACAGUUAUGUAAAAUAUUGACGUAUGCCGGGUUUUCAAAGGAGUGUCAGUUUCCUUGUUAACUAGACAGGAAAAAACCAGCACCAGCCAAACCACCUAACUGUGGCAUAUUUCACUGUUAACACUGCAGGUAUGUACCUGACAUGUCUCAACAGGAUCAGGUGCCUCGGGUUCUUUUGAGGUCCUGUGGAAGGCUGUGCUUAUCAUCUACUAUAUCUUUGCAGAUAUAGAAACAUACAUACAACAGUUUGUUUUUUUUUCUGAGAUUAUUUGUUAUUGUUGUGUGACAAGCUCUAGCUGUAAGCAAACUGAUUGCAUCAGGGUUUCAAUCUAGCGACCUGAAAGAUUUAACUCUUUUAGCUCAACAGACAAGAGUCUGUGAUGUCUCUGGCUUGACUAACAUACCACCCUAUCUAAAUCUACUUUGAUCUGUAAUUAUAGCCAAGGACAUCAUUUCAAACUAAUCAGGACACAAAUAGAUGUGCUUUUAUUAUCUGAUAAAAUAAAGGUACUCCAGCUAAUGAAGCACAUUUUGAGACAAGUAAAAAUAAAUAAAUAAAUAAAAACCCAGAUGUUUUAGAGGUUAUUUGGUAUAGUUGUUCCUGCAUGAUGCUAUUGUGAAAGCUAGUGUCUUGGGGGAGUGUCACAAAGUAGGCCGGAGUGGGUGACGUCAGAACCAGGAAGGGAAUACACCGAGACAAAACAGAUGAAG